rnacentral:rRNA from 1 species
CGUGCUUAACACAUGCAAGUCGAACGGUGAACCUUACUUUUAGUAAGGGGAUCAGUGGCGGACGGGUGAGUAACACGUAGGUGACCUGCCCCAAAGAGGGGAAUAACCAUUCGAAAGGAUGGCUAAUACCCCGUACGGUCGGCCAUUCGGUUGGUCGAGUAAAGCUUCUCGUAAGGGAGGCGCUUUGGGAGGGGCUUGCGGCCCAUCAGCUAGUUGGUAGGGUAAUGGCCUACCAAGGCUAAGACGGGUAGCUGGUCUGAGAGGAUGAUCAGCCACAAUGGCACUGAAACACGGGCCAUACUCCUACGGGAGGCAGCAGUGAGGAAUAUUGCACAAUCAACGAAAGUUGGAUGCAGCAACGCCGCGUGGACGAUGAAGGCCUUCGGGUUGUAAAGUCCUUUUAAGAGGGAAGAGAGAGGACGGUACCUCUUGAAUAAGUCUCGGCUAACUACGUGCCAGCAGCCGCGGUAACACGUAGGAGGCAAGCGUUAUCCGGAUUCAUUGGGCGUAAAGCGCGCGCAGGUGGCUUUGUAAGUCGGAUGUGAAAGCCCCGGACUUAAUCCGGGGAGGUCGUUCGAUACUGCGAGGCUUGAGAGCGGGAGAGGGAGGUGGAAUUCCGGGUGUAGUGGUGAAAUGCGUAGAUAUCCGGAGGAACACCAGUGGCGAAGGCGGCUUCCUGGCCCGUUACUGACACUGAGGCGCGAAAGCGUGGGGAGCAAACAGGAUUAGAUACCCUGGUAGUCCACGCCUUAAACGAUGGGUACUCGGUGCUGGGCCGCAAGGUUCAGUGCCAAAGCUAACGCAUUAAGUACCCCACCUGGGGAGUACGAUCGCAAGGUUGAAACUCAAAGGAAUUGACGGGGGCCCGCA